UUCGGGACGCCGGCGAGUGGCGAACGGGUGAGUAACACGUGGAGACCUGCCCUGGGGUGGGGGAUAACAACUGGAAACGGUUGCUAAUACCGCAUACGCCUUACGAGGGAAAGAUUUAUUGCCCCAGGAGGGUUCCGCGUCGGAUUAGCUAGUUGGUGGGGUAACGGCCUACCAAGGCGACGAUCCGUAGCUGGUCUUAGAGGAUGAUCAGCCACACUGGGACUGAGACACGGCCCAGACUCCUACGGGAGGCAGCAGUGGGGAAUAUUGCGCAAUGGGGGAAACCCUGACGCAGCGAUGCCGCGUGGGUGAAUAAGGCCUUAGGGUUGUAAAGCCCUUUCAGUGGGAAAGAUGAUGACGGUACCCACAGAAGAAGCCCCGGCUAACUCCGUGCCAGCAGCCGCGGUAAUACGGAGGGGGCGAGCGUUGUUCGGAAUUAUUGGGCGUAAAGAGCGCGUAGGCGGCUUUUUAAG
rnacentral:rRNA from 1 species